AUUGAACGCUGGCGGCAGGCCUAACACAUGCAAGUCGAACGAGUUGCGGACGUGUGCGUCAUGUCUGGGAAACUGCCCGAUGUAUGGGGAUAACUACUGGCAACUGUAGCUCAUACCGCAUCCUAUCGUAUUUGCCCAUAUGGGAUUAGCUAGUAGGUGGGGUACGGGCUCACCUAGGCUACGAUCCCUAGCUGGUCUGAUAGGAUGACCAGCCAAACUGGACAGGAGACACGGUCCAGACUCCUACGGGAGGCAGCAGUGGGGAAUAUGGCACAAUGGGCGCAAGCCUGAUGCAGCCAUGCCGCGUGUAUGAAGAAGGCCUUAGGGUUGUAAAGUACUUUCAGCGAGGAGGCGUUACUCGCAGAAGAAGCACCGGCUAACUCCGUGCCAGCAGCCGCGGUAAUUC
rnacentral:rRNA from 1 species